UACGUAGGGUGCGAGCGUUGUCCGGAAUUAUUGGGCGUAAAGAGCUCGUAGGCGGUUUGUCACGUCUGCUGAGAAAUCCCGAGGCUCAACCUCGGGCCUGCAGUGGGUACGGGCAGACUGGAGUGCGGUAGGGGAGAAUGGAAUUCCUGGUGUAGCGGUGGAAUGCGCAGAUAUCAGGAGGAACACCGGUGGCGAAGGCGGCGAUCUGGACAGAUAUUGACGCUGAGGUGCGAAAGCGUGGGGAGCGAACAGG
rnacentral:rRNA from 1 species